AUAAUACUCCAUAGAUUAGAGACACUGGAAUGUUCUUUAGUCGAAAGUUCUGGCGCCUUAGGAUGGAUCUGCGGUCGAUUAGGUUGUUGUUGGGGUAACGGCCCAACAAGCCUGUAAUCGAUACGGGUUGUGGGAGCAAGAGCCCGGAGAUGGAAUCUGAGACACGAUUCCAGGCCCUACGGGGCGCAGCAGGCGCGAAAACUUUACAAUGCAGGAAACUGUGAUAAGGGAACUCCGAGUGCCCGUAUACGCGGGCUGUCCAGGUGUUUAAAAAUCAUCUGAAGAAAGGGCCGGGCAAGACCGGUGCCAGCCGCCGCGGUAAUACCGGCGACUCGAGUGGUGGCCACUAUUAUUGGGCUUAAAGCGUCCGUAGCUGGACCGAUAAGUCUCUUGGGAAAUCCGCCGGCUCAACCGGCGGGCGUCUAAGGGAUACUGUUAGUCUAGGGACCGGGAGAGGUGAGAGGUACUCCGGGGGUAGGAGUGAAAUUCUGUAAUCCCCGGGGGACCACCGAUGGCGAAGGCAUCUCACCAGAACGGCUCCGACAGUGAGGGACGAAAGCUGGGGGAGCGAACCGGAUUAGAUACCCGGGUAGUCCCAGCCGUAAACUAUGCGCGUUAGGUGU
rnacentral:rRNA from 1 species